UGGGGCGUAGCCAAGCGGUAAGGCAUCGGGUUUUGAUCCCGAUACUCGAAGGUUCGAAUCCUUCCGUCCCAC
rnacentral:tRNA from 1 species